rnacentral:misc_RNA from 1 species
UCUCCGUUGGUGAACCAGCGGAGGGAUCAUUACCGAGUUUACAACUCCCAAACCCAGUGUGAACCAUACCAAACUGUUGCCUCGGCGGGGUCACGCCCCGGGUGCGUCGCAGCCCCGGAACCAGGCGCCCGCCGGAGGGACCAACCAAACUCUUUCUGUAGUCCCCUCGCGGACGUUAUUUUUACAGCUCUGAGCAAAAAUUCAAAAUGAAUCAAAACUUUCAACAACGGAUCCCUUGGUUCUG